rnacentral:lncRNA from 1 species
AUACACAUAACCACACACACACAGAGUACAUACAUACAUAACCACACACACACAGAGUACAUAUACACAUAACCACACACACAGAGUACAUAUACACAUAACCACACACACAGAGUACAUAUACACAUAACCACACACACAGAGUACAUAUAUACACAUAACCACACACAGAGUACAUAUAUACACAUAACCACACACACACAGAGUACAUAUACACAUAACCACACACAGAGUACAUAUACACAUAACCACACACACAGAGUACAUAUACACAUAACCACACACACAGAGUACAUAUACACAUAACCACACACACACAGAGUACAUAUACACAUAACCACACACACAGAGUACAUAUAUACACAUAACCACACACACAGAGUACAUAUAUACACAUAACCACACACACAGAGUACAUAUACACAUAACCACACACAGAGUACAUAUACACAUAACCACACACAGAGUACAUAUAUACACAUAACCACACACAGAGUACAUAUAUACACAUAACCACACACACACAGAGUACAUAUACACAUAACCACACACAGAGUACAUAUACACACAUAACCACACACACACAGAGUACAUAUAUACAUAACCACACACAGAGUACAUAUAUACACAUAACCACACACAGAGUACAUAUAUACACAUAACCACACACACAGAGUACAUAUAUACAUAACCACACAAGAAGUACAUAUAUACACAUAACCACACACACACAGUACAUAUAUAUACACGUAAUCGCACACAGAGUACAUAUACACACAUAAACAAUCACACACAGAGUACAUAUACACACAAAAACAACUGCACACAGAGUACAUAUAUAUACACAUAAUCGCACACACAUGCAGUACAUAUGUACACAUAAUCACACACACACUGAGUACAUUUAUACACAUAAUCACACACAGAGUACAUAUAUACACAAAAACAACUGCACACACACAGAGUACAUAUACACAUAACCACACACACAGAGUACAUAUAUACACAUAAACAAUCACACAGAGUACAUACACACAAAGAGACAUAGGGUUCUUAUCUUUUUAAAAACAUUUUCAUAUUAUACUCUCCACAGCGUCUUUUUUAUGCACUUAACACCAUCUCAUACAAAUUCUUCACUUGGCUUAAAUUCACCCCCUUUCAAGGCUGCACAACAUUUCAUGCUGUAUAUGCAACACUCUGAUGAUGAUGUGCAUUCCAGGUUUAUGCCACCCAAAGCCAGGCUCCAACAACUAUUCUUGUACAUGUAUUUUUAUAGAACAUGGAUUUUUUUUCUGUAAGUUACAUUUCCAAGAGGCGGAUUUCUGGGUUGAAGUAUAUGUACACUUUAAUUUUAUCUUAUCCAAUUUCUUUCCAUACAUGUUCUAACAAACUAUUUUCAACAACCUUUGAGUACCCUUUCCCUAUAUUCUCGUCAUCAAUUGGCGUUAACACCCAGUGCUAACACCAGUCAAUAAAUGUAAAAUCAUCUUACUGUUACUUUAAUUUGUACUUCCUAGACUUUCACUGAAUUGGAGAAUCUUUUUAUACGCAGGUUGGUCAUUUAGAUUUGCUCUUCUAUAAAUUGCCUCUUCACAUUCUUAAUCCUUUUUGCCAUUUUUUUUGGAUUACUUCUCACGAUGAUUCUUUGCUUGACCAAAAGUUUAGUCAGGCUCCUGAACCUUCUCCUAGGCCCAUCUGUGCACUUUGUUGUAAAAUCUAGUUUUAGCAAGACUCCUCCACCCUCAGUAUCUGCUCAGGUUCCUCAUCUUCCACCAUCCCCAGGUGAUGCCUGGUUAUCCUGGCCUGUUUUCAGCAAGAUCCUGCCAGUUUGGUUUAACCAGACUCCUCCUGACCUUUCACGUUUCCUCUUAGUAACUUUCCAUCCACUCCACCUCCUUGCCCCUCCAAGCUCCUUGGCUGUAAGUUCCCACAUGCCCAUGCUGUUUUCAGAGGUGAGCCCAACCUCCCUCCCUCACUGUAAAAUCCCAUUGCAGUGGCCCCCUAUACUUAUCUCGAUGGUCCUGACUAAAGCCUGCCUUGCCAUCUUUAACAAGUGUCAUUGAGUAUUUUUUCCUCCUGCUUGGCAAAUUGGAAAAGCUCUAUGUAUAUUAUAGAUAUUAGCCCUCUAUCUGUCCUUCACAUUGCAAGUGGUUUUCAAUUCUAUUAUUUAUCCUUUAACUUUAGGGUAACUUGUGCCAGACUAAGUAUGUGAAUUUUUUAUAGUUAUAUAUUUCUUUUCUUUUUUUUUUUGAGGAAGAUUAGCCCUGAGCUAACUGCUGCCAAUCCUCCUCUUUUCACUGAAGAAGACUGGCCCUGAGCUAACAUCUGUGCCCAUCUUCCUUGACUUCAUACGUGGGAUGUCCACCACAGCAUGGCUUGCCAAGCAGUGCCAUGUCCCGCACCCAGUAUCCGAACCGGCAAACCCCAGGCUGCCGAGAAGUGGAACGUGUGAACUAAACUGCUGCGCCACCGGGCAGGCCCCUAGUUAUAUAUUUCUAUGUACAGGAUACUUGAUAGGGUUUUAGUUUCAUUUCCUUUCAGGUGGGUAACCAACUAU